rnacentral:rRNA from 1 species
GACGAACGCUGGCGGCGUGCUUAACACAUGCAAGUCGAACGGAAAGGCCCUGCUUUUGUGGGGUGCUCGAGUGGCGAACGGGUGAGUAACACGUGAGUAACCUGCCCUUGACUUUGGGAUAACUUCAGGAAACUGGGGCUAAUACCGGAUAGGAGCUCCUGCUGCAUGGUGGGGGUUGGAAAGUUUCGGCGGUUGGGGAUGGACUCGCGGCUUAUCAGCUUGUUGGUGGGGUAGUGGCUUACCAAGGCUUUGACGGGUAGCCGGCCUGAGAGGGUGACCGGCACAUUGGGAAUGAGGAUCCGCCCCGGCUCCUACCGGGGGGAAGAGGGGGGAAUAAUUGAAAAAUGGCCGGAGCCUGGUGCCGGAACGCCGGGGGCGGGGAGAACGGCCUUGGGGUGGUAAACCGUUUUGGCUGGGAAGAAGGGUGGGGUAACGGUAUUGGGUAAGGAGGAACGGGUAACUUCCUG